rnacentral:rRNA from 1 species
CAGUUACUUGGAUAACUGCGGUAAUUCUGGAGCUAAUACAUGCACAAAGCCCCGAACUUACGUGAGGGGCGCUUUUAUUAGAUCAAAACCAAACGGCUUCGGCUGUAUCCUUGGUGACUCUGAAUAACAUAGGGCUGAUCGCAUGGCCUAGCGCCGGCGACAUAUCCUUCGAAGGUGUGCCCUAUCAACUGUCGACUGUGGCAUAGACGCCCACAGUGGUUUUGACGGGUAACGGGGAAUCAGGGUUCGAUUCCGGAGAGGGAGCCUUAAAAACGGCUACCACAUCUAAGGAAGGCAGCAGGCACGCAAAUUACCCAAUGACCGAAGGUCGAGGUAGUGACAAAAAAUAACGAUACGGGACUCAUCUGAGGCCCCGUAAUCGGAAUGAGUACACUUUAAAACCGUCCCCGAGGAUCUAUU